AACGAACGCUGGCGGCGCGCCUAAUACAUGCAAGUCGAGCGAGAAGGUGUAGCAAUACACUUGUAAAGCGGCGAACGGGUGAGGAAUACAUGGGUGACCUACCAUCGAGUGGGGAAUAACCAGCCGAAAGGCUGGCUAAUACCGCGUACGCUUCCGGAUUUUCGAGUCCGGAAGGAAAGCGAUACCGUGGGUAUCGCGCUCUUUGAUGGGCUCAUGUCCUAUCAGCUUGUUGGUAGGGUAACGGCCUACCAAGGCUUUGACGGGUAGCUGGUCUGAGAGGACGAUCAGCCACACUGGCACUGCGACACGGGCCAGACUCCUACGGGAGGCAGCAGUAAGGAAUAUUGCGCAAUGGGCGAAAGCCUGACGCAGCGACGCCGCGUGGGGGAUGAAGGUCUUCGGAUUGUAAACCCCUUUCGGGAGGGAAGAUGGGACGGGCAACCGUUCGGAC
rnacentral:rRNA from 1 species